rnacentral:rRNA from 1 species
GACGAACGCUGGCGGCGUGCUUAACACAUGCAAGUCGAGCGGAAAGGCCCUUCGGGGUACUCGAGCGGCGAACGGGUGAGUAACACGUGAGUAAUCUGCCCUUCACUCUGGGAUAGCCACCGGAAACGGUGAUUAAUACCGGAUACGACGCACUCCUGCAUGGGAUGUGUGUGGAAACUUUUUUUGGGUGGGGGAUGUGCUCGCGGCCUAUCAGCUUGUUGGUGGGGUAAUGGCCUACCAAGGCUUCGACGGGUAGCCGGCCUGAGAGGGUGACCGGCCACACUGGGACUGAGACACGGCCCAGACUCCUACGGGAGGCAGCAGUGGGGAAUAUUGGACAAUGGGCGGAAGCCUGAUCCAGUAACGCCGCGUGAGGGAUGACGGCCUUCGGGUUGUAAACCUCUUUCAGCACCGACGAAGCGCAAGUGACGGUAGGUGCAGAAGAAGGACCGGCCAACUACGUGCCAGCAGCCGCAGUAA